CAGGAUGGAACAGCUCCGGGAUCCUGUGACAGGGAUCCUCUGAGUGGAAAGAGAAGGCUUGCGUCUUUUACCCGGAGUAAAUUUGCUAUGUGUCAGCAGAGUUGUUAUUCCACAGCAGUUCUGGGGCAAGUGAACGAGACCCUUUAAUUCUAACCUCUCCGUCCUGACGGUGGCCCAACAGAGUCAGACACACAGGACUCAGAGUUUAUCCAGAGAAAAGACAGGAAGAAUCACUUCACCCAAGAAAGGACUGAAGCUCUUCCAGGCUCUUGGUCUCUCUCUGGUGUUGGAGAUCAAGGCCAGGCCCUUGCUCAUGUUAAGCAAGCCCUGGACCACUGAGCUGUAUCUCUAGACCUGAGAAGAAGGAUUUUUAAGAACACACAGAAAAGACCAUCUGAAAACAUACUGGAACUGUGUAUCAGGAGAUGAGAGCGACAGGGAGAGGAGCAAGCAGUCUUAACCACGGCCCACAGUGCCACCAAAAGAAAGACCAAAAGAGAGAAGGAGCAAGGGCUGGAAGAAUGAGAAUUUGCUGAUAUUCCACUCAGUCCUUCUAACUCUGAUGACCAUGACACAGCUCAUCCCACUAAUGACACCUCAACAUCAUCAU